ACGGAAAUUACGUCACGAACGGAGCUGUCUCCUGGAUGCAGCUGUUCUUCUGUGAACAUGGCGUCCGUAACAACAGCCACCUCGGAGUGGAUCCAGUUCUUUAAAGAUGCUGGGAUACCUGCUGGUCUGGCUGUCAACUAUGCCGUGUCUUUUGUGGACAACAGGGUCCAGAAGAACAUGCUGAUGGACCUCAGUAAGGACAUCAUGAUGGACCUUGGCAUCACUGUCAUCGGUGACAUUAUUUCCAUCCUCAAACACGCCAAACAGGUCUACCGACAGGACAUGUGCAAAAUGGCCACACAGGCCAUAACCUCAGGACAGUCCAGCGUUCAGACCGAACUACGAAGAACUGCCAACACCCCCGCCACACGUAUGAUUGCCAACGCCUUGAGCCGCGACUCACCGCCAAACACACCAGCCCAUCACCCUGACAACCGGGCAAUCUCUGUGACAGUGUCCAACAAACAGGCCAAGAGUGGCAAAGCAGUGCUGUGCCGGCCUGCUGACGAGGGGAACGGUCUGCCGGUGAAGCGUCGGCGCGUAACUGCAGAGAUGGAAGGCAAGUACAUCAUCAACAUGCCCAAAGGCACCACGGCACGCACCGCCCGAAUCCUGGCCCAGCAGGCCAAGAAAGGGAAUAAGCGGAUGUCUGUGUUUGAGCGACUGGGAGCCGAGUCCAAGGCAGAUACCACCACGGGCAGCAGCAAGGCCACGGGUGUGUUCAGUCGUCUGGGCCGAGCAGACGGAGCGGAGGAGGAGCAGGGAACUGCAGGAAGGGUUGACGUAGACGGAGUGGAAGAGGAGGAGGAGGAGGAAGAGGAUGAUAGUGAUAGAGAGGGUUCGGUCCUACAGUACGCUGGCGUCCUCAAGCGACUCCCACCCUCCCAGAAGAAAGAGCCUGUGGCCCCCAAGCUGGCCCCCACCACCCUCCGCCGCCUGGGAGGGAAAUUCAAACUCCCCCCCACUGAUUCUCCCUCCUCCUCCUCCUCUUCCUCCCCCGAUGGCCUCCCCCCUGCCAAGCUCAGUGUGCUUCAGAGACUGGGCAAGACCCCUGCCUCCCCACCGCCUGCCGACACCCAGGACAGCCGGGUGACCAGCACCAGAAAUAAGGCCCGGCCAGGCCUGGCCCUGGCCAGCCCCAAGGUCAGCAGCAGCACCAGGGCUGGAGGAGGGGAGAGUUUUGGGGCUCAGAUGGACAUAGGGUCAGUCAAUGUCUUUAAGAGACUAGGCAGCAGGAGAACCUAACACAUAUCAGGUCAUGUCUAGACUUAAACAGUACCUUUUUAUUAUUUGGUAUUAUUCCCCCUACGUGUUGGAGUCAUGAAAAGCAUUGUGUUAUUAUAUCCAACCUUUAUAGAGGUUUGAGACGACCACUGCAAUCGGCCUGGGUGAAUGAACAUUUUGGAUGUUGCAUCGGGUUUUGAAAGACUGGACAACAGCAACUGGCAAACAGCACAUCAAUGAACCUCUCAACCCACAAGCAAGAGCAUCUCAUCACCUCAUUUUAUAUGAACUGUAUUUGUAGAAAUGUGUAAAUGCAUAUUGCUUGAUGAUGCCUACCUUUUGAAGGCUCCACCACCACAUUGAACCUCUGGUUGUGUACCUGCUUGAAAGCCAAGAGAUUCUGAGUUGUCUGUUCACGGAAAAGGAAGUUACCCACCCUUGACCUGGAAGUAGAUUUUAUUGUGAGGUUUUUCCCGGGGCUUAUUCAGUACGUAGAAAUGUAACGUAUAGAGCUCACAUGACGCUUUAGUUGACUAACAAGAGAAGCAUGUUAGUUCUGCACCAUACCCUUUCUAUCUAAAUGUGUAAUGUGCUUUCCUCUAUAAGCCCCUGGUUUGUCAUAAUUCAGCAUGGUAUAGGAACUGAUAUGUAAUGUCCCCUUGAUGUUGAUACAAUACUUAGCAGGUGUUCACCCAACUCAAUGUCAUUUUGAGACUGUGUCUUUUAUUUAUUUUUUAUUAAACUUCACACCGGAA